rnacentral:rRNA from 1 species
GUUAAGUCAGCUGUGAAAGCCCCGGGCUCAACCAGGGAAUUGCAGUUGAUACUGGCCGACUAGAGUACGAGAGAGGGAGGUUGAAUUCCAUGUGUAGCGGUGAAAUGCGUAGAUAUAUGGAGGAAUACCAGUGGCGAAGGCGGCCUCCUGGCUCGAUACUGACGCUGAGGUGCGAAAGCGUGGGUAGCAAACAGGAUUAGAUACCCUGGUAGUCACGCCGUAAACGAUGUCUACUAGCCGUUGGGAGACUUGAUUUCUUAGUGGCGCAGCUAACGCAAUAAGUAGACCGCCUGGGGAGUACGGCCGCAAGGUUAAAACUCAAAUGAAUUGACGGGGGCCCGCACAAGCGGUGGAGCAUGUGGUUUAAUUCGAUGCAACGCGAAGAACCUUACCAGGCCUUGACAUCCUGAGAACUUUCUAGAGAUAGAUUGGUGCCUUCGGGAACUCAGUGACAGGUGCUGCAUGGCUGUCGUCAGCUCGUGUCGUGAGAUGUUGGGUUAAGUCCCGUAACGAGCGCAACCCUUGUCCUUAGUUGCCAGCACUUCGGGUGGGAACUCUAAGGAGACUGCCGGUGACAAACCGGAGGAAGGUGGGGACGACGUCAAGUCAUCAUGGCCCUUACGGCCUGGGCUACACACGUGCUACAAUGGAACGCACAGAGGGCAGCAAACCCGCGAGGGGGAGCGAAUCCCACAAAACGUUCCGUAGUCCGGAUUGGAGUCUGCAACUCGACUCCAUGAAGUCGGAAUCGCUAGUAAUCGUGAAUCAGAAUGUCACGGUGAAUACGUUCCCGGGCCUUGUACACACCGCCCGUCACACCAUGGGAGUGGGUUGCUCCAGAAGUGGUUAGCCUAACCUUCGGGAGGGCGAUCACCACGGAGUGAUUCAUGACUGGGGUGAAGUCGUAACAAGGUAACC